UGGAUGAGUGAUAAGUCCGGUAUAGGUUGCUUCUAGUGUUCCCAUUCAUCUGUUUGGCUAAGCUAGAACAUAACAAGCCUAUGAGGCACUCUCAUCCG
rnacentral:sRNA from 12 species